GACGAACGCUGGCGGCGUGCUUAACACAUGCAAGUCGAACGGAAAGGCCCUGCUUUUGUGGGGUGCUCGAGUGGCGAACGGGUGAGUAACACGUGAGUAACCUGCCCUUGACUUUGGGAUAACUUCAGGAGACUGGGGCUAAUACCGGAUAGGAGCUCCUGCUGCAUGGUGGGGGUUGGAAAGUUUCGGCGGUUGGGGAUGGACUCGCGGCUUAUCAGCUUGUUGGUGGGGUAGUGGCUUACCAAGGCUUUGACGGGUAGCCGGCCUGAGAGGGUGACCGGCCACAUUGGGACUGAGAUACGGCCCAGACUCCUACGGGAGGCAGCAGUGGGGAAUAUUGCACAAUGGGCGGAAGCCUGAUGCAGCAACGCCGCGUGCGGGAUGACGGCCUUCGGGUUGUAAACUGCUUUCGCCUGUGACGAAGCGUGAGUGACGGUAAUGGGUAAAGAAGCACCGGCUAACUACGUG
rnacentral:rRNA from 1 species